UACGGAGGGGGCUAGCGUUGUUCGGAAUUACUGGGCGUAAAGCGCACGUAGGCGGCUUUGCAAGUCAGAGGUGAAAGCCCGGGGCUCAACCCCGGAAUUGCCUUUGAGACUGCAUCGCUAGAAUUGUGGAGAGGUAAGUGGAAUUCCGAGUGUAGAGGUGAAAUUCGUAGAUAUUCGGAAGAACACCAGUGGCGAAGGCGACUUACUGGACACAUAUUGACGCUGAGGCGCGAAAGCGUGGGGAGCAAACAGG
rnacentral:rRNA from 1 species